rnacentral:rRNA from 1 species
AUUGAACGCUGGCGGCAUGCCUUACACAUGCAAGUCGAACGGUAACAGGUCUUCGGAUGCUGACGAGUGGCGAACGGGUGAGUAAUACAUCGGAACGUGCCCGAUCGUGGGGGAUAACGAGGCGAAAGCUUUGCUAAUACCGCAUACGAUCUACGGAUGAAAGCGGGGGAUCUUCGGACCUCGCGCGGACGGAGCGGCCGAUGGCAGAUUAGGUAGUUGGUGGGAUAAAAGCUUACCAAGCCGACGAUCUGUAGCUGGUCUGAGAGGAUGAUCAGCCACACUGGGACUGAGACACGGCCCAGACUCCUGCGGGAGGCAGCAGUGGGGAAUUUUGGACAAUAGGCGAAAGCCUGAUCCAGCCAUGCCGCGUGCAGGAUGAAGGCCUUCGGGUUGUAAACUGCUUUUGUACGGAACGAAAAGCCUCUUUCUAAUAAAGAGGGGUCAUGACGGUACCGUAAGAAUAAGCACCGGCUAACUACGUG